rnacentral:rRNA from 1 species
GUCUUAAAGAAUAAUAAUUUUAAGUCUAAUCUGCCCACUGAAAUUUUUUUGAAGGGCCGCAAUAUAAAUGUGCAAAGGUAGCAUAAUAAUUAGUUUUUUAAUUGGAAACUAGAAUGAAUGAUUGGACGAAAUAUUAAUUGUUUCGAUUUUAAGAUUAAAAUUUAUUUUUUUAGUGAAAAAACUAAAAUUUUUAAAAAAGACGAGAAGACCCUAUAGAUCUUGAUAUAUAUUGAGUAAAAAUUUUAUAUUAUUUGUAUAUAUUUAAUUGGGGUGAUUUAAAAAUUUAAAUAACUUUUAGGAUUAUUUACAAAAAUUAUUGAAUUAUUAUAUUAUGAUCUUUAUAUACAAUUUAUAUGUUUAAAAUUUUGUUAUAUAAAAAUAAAGAUAAAGAUACCUUAGGGAUAACAGCGUAAUUUUAAUUUUAAGUUCUUAUUAAAAUUAGAGAUUGCGACCUCGAUGUUGGAUUAAAAUUAAUUUAAAAUGUAGGUGUUUUAUAAUUAGGUCUGUUCGACCUUUAAAUUUUU